rnacentral:rRNA from 1 species
AUUGAACGCUGGCGGCAGGCCUAACACAUGCAAGUCGAGCGCGCGGCGCACGGGUGAGUAAUGUCUGGGAAACUGCCUGUUGUGGGGGGAUAACUACUCGAAACGGUAGCUAAUAUCCCAUACCACCUGAUGUGCCCACAUGGGAUUAGCUAGGGGGUGGGGUAAUGGCGCACCUAGGCGACGAUCCCUAGCUGGUCUGAGAGGAUGACCCGCCACACUGGAACUGAGACACGGUCCAGACGCCUACGGGAGGCAGCAGUGGGGAAUAUUGCACAAUGGGCGCAAGCCUGAUGCAGCCAUGCCGCGUGUAUGAAGAAGGCCUUCGGGUUGUAAAGUACUUUCAGCGAGGAGGCGUUACUCGCAGAAGAAGCACCGGCUAACUCCGUGCCAGCAGCCGCGGUAAUAC